ACGUAAUAGAUACCCAGGUAGUCCACGCCCUAAACGAUGUCUACUAGUUGUUGGUGGAGUAAAAUCCAUGAGUAAACGCAGCUAAACGCGUGAAGUAGACCGCCUGGGGAGUACGGUCGCAAGAUUAAAACUCAAAUGAAUUGACGGGGGCCCGCACAAGCGGUGGAUUAUGUGGAUUAAUUCGAUGCAACGCGAAAAACCUUACCUGGCCUUGACAUGUAACGAACUUUCCAGAGAUGGAUUGGUGCUCGAAAGAGAGCGUUAACACAGGUGCUGCAUGGCUGUCGUCAGCUCGUGUCGUGAGAUGUUGGGUUAAGUCCCGCAACGAGCGCAACCCUUGCCAUUAAUUGCCAUCAUUUAGUUGGGCACUUUAAUGGGACUGCCGGUGACAAACCGGAGGAAGGUGGGGAUGACGUCAAGUCCUCAUGGCCCUUAUGGCCAGGGCUUCACACGUAAUACAAUGGUCGGUACAGAGAGUUGCCAACCCGCGAGGGGUAGCCAAUCUCAGAAAGCCGAUCGUAGUCCGGAUUGUAGUCUGC
rnacentral:rRNA from 1 species